rnacentral:rRNA from 1 species
GAUGAACGCUGGCGGCGUGCCUAAUACAUGCAAGUCGAGCGAACGGACGAGAAGCUUGCUUCUCUGAUGUUAGCGGCGGACGGGUGAGUAACACGUGGAUAACCUACCUAUAAGACUUGGAUAACUUCGGGAAACCGUAGCUAAUACCGGAUACUAUUUUGAACCGCAUGGUUCAAAAGUGAAAGACGGUCUUGCUGUCACUUAUAGAUGGAUCCGCGCUGCAUUAGCUAGUUGGUAAGGUAACGGCUUACCAAGGCAACGAUGCAUAGCCGACCUGAGAGGGUGAUCGGCCACACUGGAACUGAGACACGGUCCAGACUCCUACGGGAGGCAGCAGUAGGGAAUCUUCCGCAAUGGGCGAAAGCCUGACGGAGCAACGCCGCGUGAGUGAUGAAGGUCUUCGGAUCGUAAAACUCUGUUAUUAGGGAAGAACAUAUGUGUAAGUAACUGUGCACAUCUUGACGGUACCUAAUCAGAAAGCCACGGCUAACUACGUG